rnacentral:rRNA from 1 species
UACGUAGGGGGCAAGCGUUGUCCGGAAUCAUUGGGCGUAAAGCGCGCGUAGGCGGCCCGGUAAGUCCGCUGUAAAAGUCCAGGGCUCAACCCUGGAAAGCCGGUGGAUACUGUCGGGCUAGAGUCCGGAAGAGGCGAGUGGAAUUCCUGGUGUAGCGGUGGAAUGCGCAGAUAUCAGGAAGAACACCCGUGGCGAAAGCGGCUCUCUGGAACGGUACUGACGCUGAGACGCGAAAGCGUGGGGAGCGAAACAGG